ensembl:lncRNA
AUGUGGAAAUGUAAAUUGUGUGUUUUUUCUAGUGCCUUAAAAAUACAGUUAUUGAGACAUUACAGACUCUAUCAUGGCCAGUAUUCCACAAUUUCACCAUUACCUUGCCUGUAUAACAACUGCAUGUGUACAUUUAGCACUUAUAACUCAUUGAAGGUACAUUUGUCAAGAGUACAUUUGGAGAAAAGACUGGUAGGCAGAGACAACAGUGAUUUGACUUUAAAUCUGGCAUUUCAUUGCCCUGUGUGUGAUUUUAAGCAGCCAUUUGUUGAGAGUGACAUGUUUAUUCAUCUAAGGGGGCAUCUAAGACGGAAAGAAACCGUGCCAUGUCCAUUUAGGGCCUGCAAGUUUCAAACAAAUGUUUACUCAACAUACAAUUCACACAAGUGCAGAGAACACCAACAUGCAUCAGACUAUGAUGUGGCAGUUGUAGUGCAAAAUGUCUCGAAUGUUUCCCAGGAUGACACUGAACAUGAUCAGGAAGAGCUUUCAGAUGAAAAUGAAACUGCCUCAGCCCCGGUAGCAGGCAGUAGUGAUGAAGGAUUAACAGAGCAGUUACAGUACAAUCUGGCUGCCUUCUUCUUGAAAAUGCAGACUAUUCUCCAUGUAUCCACAAGAGCAACACAGGAAAUCAUUGAGCAUAUUGAUCAAUUGUUUUCACUGUCAGAACCAGUUUUCAGAGAAUCUCUAAUCAAAAUACUGGAAAAACAUAACUGCCCCAUUACUGACACACUUGUUAGUGAGAUUGUCCAGGCAGUUUCAGAGAGUAAUAUUUUGUAUACAUCUGUUACCUCUGAAGGACCACUGUCAACAGCAAAGCGGAGAAAGUCAUAUUAUGAGGAUAAGUUUCCAUUUGCCAAGCCUGUAGAGUACCUUAUUGAGUCGUCACAGCGUACAUUUAUGUAUGUGCCCAUUCUCACAUCUUUGCAGUUGUUGUUGAAAAAAACAGACGUACUUGAGAAAGUCCAAGAAACCACCUCACAGUUGCCUGGACAGUAUUCGUCUUACUGUGAUGGCUCCUACUUCCAGGAAAAUGAGCUUCUCUCAGAUGAGGGUCCAAAAUUGUCAAUUAUUCUUUAUGUUGAUGAUUUUGAAAUUGCAAACCCUCUAGGAACAUCAAAAAAAAUACACAAAGUAUGUGCAGUUUAUUGGACAUUAGCUAACCUCCCAGUAAAGUAUCGCUCAGCACUCCAAUCUACUCAGUUGACUCUUUUGUGCAACUCAAAUGAUGUACGGCAGUUUGGGUAUGAAAAGGUUUUUGCGCCUCUCUUGAGUGACCUAAAAGCUCUUGAAAAUGAGGGUGUUUACAUUGAGACAUUUGGUCACUGUCUCAAAGGCACAGUGUACUCUGUUGUGGCUGAUAACCUGGCUGCCCAUGGGCUAGCUGGUUUCAGUGAGAGUUUUAGGGCUACAUAUUUUUGCAGAUUUUGUCUUGCCACCCAGACAGAUAUGCAAACAUCAAAUGCAAUCACUGGUAGUUUUGAGAUGAGAACCAAAAAUAUGCAUGAUCACCUUGUUCAAAAAAUGCAGAACAGUGACAGUGAAGAGAACUGCGGUGUAAAACAAAGUUGUGUUCUUUCUGAUCAUCUCUCUUAUUUUCAUCCUAUCACAGGAUUUCCACCUGACAUCCUUCAUGACCUGUUUGAAGGUGUGGUUCCUGUUGAGUUGGCACAUUCUUUGAAGGGUUUGAUUGCAAGAAAGUAUUUCACUUUGGAAGAGCUGAAUAGGGCAAUACUGUCAUUUCCCUUCCAACAUUCUGAUAAGGUUAACCGCCCUCACCCAAUUCCUCAGAGUUUUGCCACUCGAGGGACAAUCGGCGGGAAUGGGCAUGAGAACCACGCUCUGCUUAGACUGCUACCUGUUCUCAUUGGCUCCAGAGUCCCUGAAGGAGACAAAUUCUGGGAGGUGCUAAUGGAAUUAAAAGAUAUAGUUGAACUUGCCAUGUCUCAUACGUACACAGAUGAUACCAUUCAGUACAUGGCCUGUAAGAUUUCAGAUCACAGGCAGCUGCUUCAGGAAGUAUUGCCCAGCUUACGAUUACGGCCAAAGCAUCAUUACAUUGAGCAUUAUCCUCAUCUCAUAAAGUGCUUUGGUCCUCUGGUGCAUCUGUGGACAAUGAGAUUUGAGGGGAAGCACAAAGUCUUCAAGGCAGUUGCUCGUUGCUCUCAUAACUACAAAAAUGUGUUGAAAACUAUGGCAGAGAGACACCAAAACAUGAUGGCAUUCUAUUUGUCAUCACCAAGAUUUUUCAAGCCACCAGUGCAGACUUCAAAAGUGGAGUCUGUCUAUGUUGAGUCAUUGCCUACUGAUACACAUGCGUUAAUAUCGAGCAUCACAGACAGCAGCAGUGUAUAUGGCACAAAACAGGUUACCAUUGAAGGCACAACUUUUGUGGCUGGGAUGUUUGUUUGCACUGGGACACAUGCUGCCUUGCCUGUGUUUAAAGAGAUCAGAAACAUAUUACUUAUCAGAAAUGACAUCUUCUUUGUACUGAAAGACUAUGAGACCUGGUAUGUUGAGCAUUUGCGGUCAUAUGAGCUAACAGAUCAUAAAAGCAAGGGCCAUACAGUGAAAUCUGUAUGUCAGCUAACUGACCGAAUGCCACUGUUUGCCUACAGGGUUUCAAGCAAGCUAAUUCUGACAACUAAACAUUUCAUUCCUGUGUCAGAGUAA